rnacentral:rRNA from 1 species
AACGAACGCUGGCGGCAGGUUUAACACAUGCAAGUCGAGCGCCCCGCAAGGGGAGCGGCAGACGGGUGAGUAACGCGUGGGAAUCUACCCAUCUCUACGGAAUAACGCAUGGAAACGUGUGCUAAUACCGUAUACGUCCUUCGGGAGAAAGAUUUAUCGGAGAUGGAUGAGCCCGCGUUGGAUUAGCUAGUUGGUGGGGUAAAGGCCUACCGAGGCGACGAUCCAUAGCUGGUCUGAGAGGAUGAUCAGCCACACUGGGACUGAGACACGGCCCAGACUCCUACGGGAGGCAGCAGUGGGGAAUAUUGGUCAAUGGGCGCAAGCCUGAUCCAGCCAUGCCGCGUGAGUGAUGAAGGCCCUAGGGUUGUAAAGCUCUUUCACCGGUGAAGAUAAUGACGGUAACCGGAGAAGAAGCCCCGGCUAACUUCGUGCCAGCAGCCGCCGUAAUAC